rnacentral:tRNA from 1 species
GGUAUAGCUUAGUGGUAGAGCACAUGUUUAGUUUGCAUGUGGUCCUGGGUUCAACCCCCAGUACC